rnacentral:rRNA from 1 species
GUGGGGAAUCUUCCGCAAUGGACGAAACCCUGACCCAGCAACGCCGCGUGAAGGAAGAAGGUUUUCGGAUCGUAAACUUCUAUCCUUGGUGAAGAUAAUGACGGUAGCCGAGAAGGAAGCCCCGGCUAACUACGUGCCAGCAGCCGCGGUAAUACGUAGGGGGCAAGCGUUGUCCGGAAUGAUUGGGCGUAAAGGGCGCGUAGGCGGCCUGGUAAGUCUGGAGUGAAAGUCCUGCUUUUAAGGUGGGAAUUGCUUUGGAUACUGUCGGGCUUGAGUGCAGGAGAGGUAAGUGGAAUUCCCGGUGUAGCGGUGAAAUGCGUAGAGAUCGGGAGGAACACCAGUGGCGAAGGCGACUUACUGGACUGUAACUGACGCUGAGGCGCGAAAGUGUGGGGAGCAAACAGGAUUAGAUACCCCAGUAGUCC